GAUGAAGAACGCAGCGAACUGCGAUAAGUAAUGUGAAUUGCAGAAUUCAGUGAAUCAUCGAGUCUUUGAACGCACAUUGCGCCCCCUGGCAUUCCGGGGGGCAUGCCUGUCCGAGCGUCAUUGCUGCCCAUCAAGCCCGGCUUGUGUGUUGGGUCGUCGUCCCCCCCGGGGGACGGGCCCGAAAGGCAGCGGCGGCACCGUGUCCGGUCCUCGAGCGUAUGGGGCUUUGUCACCCGCUCGACUAGGGCCGGCCGGGCGCCAGCCGACGUCUCCAACCAUUUUUCUCCAGGUUGACCUCGGAUCAGGUAGGGAUACCCGCUGAACUUAAGCAUAUCAAUAAGCGGAGGA
rnacentral:misc_RNA from 1 species